GAUGAACGCUGGCGGCGUGCCUAAUACAUGCGAGUCGAGCGAACGGACGAGAAGCUUGCUUCUCUGAUGUUAGCGGCGGACGGGUGAGUAACACGUGGAUAACCUACCUAUAAGACUGGGAUAACUUCGGGAAACCGUAGCUAAUACCGGAUAAUAUUUUGAACCGCAUGGUUCAAAAGUGAAAGACGGUCUUGCUGUCACUUAUAGAUGGAUCCGCGCUGCAUUAGCUAGUUGGUAAGGUAACGGCUUACCAAGGCAACGGUGCAUAGCCGACCUGAGAGGGUGAUCGGCCACCCUGGAACUGAGACACGGUCCAGACUCCUACGGGAGGCAGCAGUAGGGAAUCUUCCGCAAUGGGCGAAAGCCUGACGGAGCAACGCCGCGUGAGUGAUGAAGGUCUUCGGAUCGUAAAACUCUGUUAUUAGAGAAGAACAUAUGUGUAAGUAACUGUGCACAUCUUGACGGUACCUAAUCAGAAAGCCACGGCUAACUACGUG
rnacentral:rRNA from 1 species